AGAAAAAAAAAGACGAGAAUUCCUCUAAGCGCUGAAAAAAUUUCACAACUAGAGGAAGAGAAGAGUUCUUCUCAAAUUUUAUAAACUACUAGAGAAAGAAAACCCUAACCCCCUCCAAACCCCACGAUUCAGCAAUGGCGAAGAACAAAAACAAGAAGAAGAAAAAUGGAUUUGGUCUAAUGGAUAUGGACGUCAAAUCAGAUGAUCAUAAGGUCAUGGAUAUUCCUCAAGCUAUGGAUACGUUGGAGACCGUAGCUUCCAGUGCUUUUGCCGGUGGACCGCUAAGG